ACCCGCUGAACUUAAGCAUAUCAAUAAGCGGAGGAAAAGAAACCAACAGGGAUUGCCUUAGUAACGGCGAGUGAAGCGGCAAAAGCUCAAAUUUGAAAUCUGGCGCAAGCCCGAGUUGUAAUUUGAAGAAGGUAAUUUUUGGGAAGAUGUAUAUAAAAGUUCCUUGGAACAGGACGUCAUAGAGGGUGAGAAUCCCGUUUUGUAUACCGCUCUUUCCUUGUAAAAUGCCUUCGAAGAGUCGAGUUGUUUGGGAAUGCAGCUCUAAGUGGGUGGUAAAUUCCAUCUAAAGCUAAAUAUUGGCGAGAGACCGAUAGCGAACAAGUACAGUGAUGGAAAGAUGAAAAGAACUUUGAAAAGAGAGUGAAAAAGUACGUGAAAUUGUUGAAAGGGAAGGGUUUUAAGGGAGACUUGGGGGGUAGUGAACAAUUUUCCUUUGGGAAGGUGCACUCACUAUUCUCUGGGCCAAUAUGGGUUUGUGGAGUAGGAUAAAAGGGCAGGAAUGUGGCCAUU
rnacentral:rRNA from 1 species